rnacentral:rRNA from 1 species
CCUACGGGUGUGCAGCAGUGAGGAAGAUUGGGCAAUGGCCGUAAGGCUGAACCAGCCAAGGGGAGUGAAGGAAGAAGGAUCGAGGGUUUGGAAACUUUUUUGAGAGGGGAAGAAAGGUAUCCACGUGGGGAUAUUUGCAUGGACCCUAUGAAGAAGCAGCGGCUAACUCCGUGCCAGCAGCCGCGGUAAUACGGAGGAUGCGAGCGUUAUCCGGAUUGAUGGGGUUGAAAGGGUGCGUAGGUUGUUUUUUAAGUCAGCGGUGAACGUUUGUGGCUCAACCCUAAAAUUGCCGUUGAAACUGGCAGACUUGCGUGUGUUUGAGGUAGGCGGAAUGCGUGGUGUAGCGGU